CAGUUUACUGCCAGGGGGGGGGAACAAACACAACAUCAGAGGGAACCUUAAUGACAGCCACUACAUGCUGUAAGCUCGAUGAAAGCAAGGCCUCCUGGUAACUGAAACAUGACAAAUCAGAGGGAGAAUGGAAGAAAAGCCAUUUAUCAAAAAAGUUGAAGUUGACAACUCCUGUUUUUCUGCAGUGUCACACGUAGGUCAGUUCUUGAAGCCCAAAUGUAGUGGAAGCAACAAUGCGCCUUGGCCGCUGACAAACAUCGCAAGCGUGAUGCAAAAGAUGGAUUGUGUGGGUGUGAUGGAAACAGACUGGAAAAGAUGAGCCUGUCACAAUGUGUUGUCAUCUUGUAUUGAGAAAAACAGUGAGCCGAUCACAUGAACAAAUUAGUUGAAUGUGACAGUUUAGAUUUAAUCAAGAAAGUCAUAGCAGUAUCCAUUCAAGACAGUGUAUACCCAAUCCUGAGAGAACAAUGUCUGAAUCAUUAAUAUAAAAACAAUUUUUCUAAAGACGGGGGUUCAAACCCAGCUAGCACAAUCUCUUGCCUCCCUUCCGUACACUUACAGCUCCCCUUCAAUCUCUCCUCUUGUUGUCGCUCUUUC